UGCGUAGGCGGUCCCGCAAGUCCGUUGUGAAAGCCCCGGGCUUAACCUGGGAAUGGCAGUGGAAACUAGGGGACUUGAAUCUGGCAGAGGGGGUGGAAUGCCACGUGUAGCAGUGAAAUGCGUAGAGAUGUGGCGGAACACCGAUGGCGAAGGCAGCCCCCUGGGCUGAGAUUGACGCUCAGGCACGAAAGCGUGGGGAGCAAACAGGAUUAGAUACCCUGGUAGUCCACGCCCUAAACGAUGAUCACUAGGUGUUGGGGAAGCGAUUUCUCAGUACCGCAGCUAACGCGUGAAGUGAUCCGCCUGGGGAGUACGGUCGCAAGAUUAAA
rnacentral:rRNA from 1 species